CAAGAAACCUCUUCUCAGGGCACCCAAGAGGCUACAAAGAAUGAUGUUGAGGAUCCAAAAGUAUGAUGUAAAUGUGGUUUUUGUGCCAGGAAAGGACAUGCUGUUGGCUGACACAUUAAGCAGAGCCUAUCUGCCAGAACAUUCUUCUUACAACUCUGUGAAAGCAGAAAUAGAGACAGUGAACAUUUUACAGCAUCUGCCAAUAUCAGAACAAAGACUAAGUGCAAUUCGCUUUGCAAGAGAGCAAGAUGCAACACUCCAAAUGCUCAAAGAAACAGUAAGUCAAGGUUGGCCAAAAGGGAAAUCAAAAGUUCAAAGUCAGAUCAGCCUAUAUUUCUCUUUUCAAGACGAGCUAGUGUAACCCAUGGUUAUUUUAGGGCCUAACCCAUUCCUCUUUUGGAGCCAGAACAACUACUAUAGCUAUUUCUAAAGGCUGAAUUUUCGCUAAAAGCUGUAUUUUCCGAUGGUCCUUAAACGCACCAAAGCCCUGCAGGUAGCCCCGUUGAAACGGAGGAAAAAGAGUUGUCGCACAUUUUAUUUGUGAGAAGCCGAGCAGACAACCUGUGCAGACCAGCACGAUUCGGGAGAAGAAUCUUAUUGAACAACUCCAGAGGUUUUUUCCUAUGAACGUUUUGCUUUUUCUUUGAACAUCCUGACUGUUUUUUUUUUUCCUAUGCUGGACUCUCCUUGAAGAUCCAAAGUGCACCAUCCAGGGACGGGAUUCUGCGCGUCUGAAUUUCGGGGAAUCUGGACAUCCUGGAUCAGAAGGUUAAGCAGGAGCGCGGUAACAGGAAUUGAAUUGAUUUUUAAGGAUCCCCUUUCUUUUUUUCAAUUUUUUAUCCUGAGAUCUCAGAGAACUAUUUCAAUUUUUUUUUGGUCAGGCCUGACAGAAAAGAGAAAAACAAAUAAACUGAUAAAUGAUGCAUCAAACUUAAAACCGGAGAAAAUGUAUAUAUUUUUUUGUUAAAUUAAAUGUGUGUUUGUUAUCUGAA